CAGGGUUUGGUCGCAUAACUGCAUCUCAGAUCUGCAUAGUUUCCGGUUCGUGCUCGAUCUGCAGACCACCUGCGUACAGGGCCGACUCUCAAGUAGAUACAAGAAUGGAACAAUAUGUCAGUAAUGGAAGCCUCGAUACAAAAAUUACUGAUGAAUUAAGAGGACUUGACUGGAAAAAACGUUAUCAGAUAAUUAAAGGAAUAUGUGCUGGUUUGCAUUAUCUACACAUGGAAAAAUGUAUUCUUCAUAUGGAUCUAAAGCCUGCCAAUAUACUACAUGAUAAUCAGAUGAU